rnacentral:lncRNA from 1 species
CCAACAAGCUACAGUCAUUCCCAGCUAGGGUUUUACUUUUCUAAUGAAAUUACCCUGUGGAUCUUUAAAAAGUAUGAAUAAAAAAGAGGACAAAAUGGUCAAUUAUUACAAAGGAGUAUAAUGAGACAAAGGUUGUUGUUAAAUCUACUCAACAGUUGGGGCUUAAGAACCAUUUUGUUUAGGGGUACAUGGUCAUUAAGUGUUUGUCCUAUGUUGGUAACUGGUCUCCCAUAGUUGUUCCUAGUUCACUUCAACCCCAUGAUCCUAAGCACACCUGUACCUGCCCUGGAAUCCCUCAGCCAUGUUUGUUCCACAGAGCAUCACUAUCAAACAGUUCACUGUGGACUACUCGUAGCAGAAGUACAGUAGGGGACAGCAAGUGUCAGCUCCAUCAGGACCCCUGAUUUAAUUAUUUACUGUGGAACCAUUGUCCUGAGUCAGGAGGAUAGAUGAGGAAAGAAUGAGCGUGGCUGGCAUCGCUUCAUGAUUACAUUCUGGGAAAGAUCUUGCCUGUUAACCGCUAGAGAAGGAGGGACGAUGCAGACAACCACUGGUGGAAGUUGUUGUUAAACAGUGGGUCUUGCAUGCAAGCUCUACAGUUAUGCACAGUAUUUCCAUGACAUCCCAAGCCAUGAGGUCCAUGCUGCCAUAUCCCCCUGUUUAACAAGUGUGGAAACUGAUGUA